UUCCGGUUGAUCCUGCCGGAGGCUACUGCUAUUGGAAUUCGACUAAGCCAUGCGAGUCAAGGUGUCUUCGGACGCCGGCAUACGGCUCAGUAACACGUAGGUAACCUACCCUCAGGACUGAGAUAACCCCGGGAAACUGGGGCUAAUAUUAGAUAGAUAAAAGAUACUGGAAUGUUCUUUUAUUCAAAGCUUUUGCGCCUGAGGAUGGGCCUGCGCCCGAUUAGGUUGUUGGUGGGGUAAUGGCCCACCAAGCCUAUGAUCGGUACGGGCAGUGGGAGCUGAAGCCCGGAGUUGGGGACUGAGACAAGGCCCCAGGCCCUACGGGGCGCAGCAGGCGCGAAACCUCUGCAAUGCGGGAAACCGUGACAGGGGAAUUCCAAGUGCUCAUGCAUUGCAUGGGCUGUUCUUUGGUCUAAGUAACCAGAGGAGUAAGGGCUGGGCAAGACCGGUGCCAGCCGCCGCGGUAAUACCGGCAGCUCAAGUGGUAGCCGCGAUUAUUGGGCCUAAAGCGUUCGUAGCCGGAUAAGUAAGUCUUUGGUUAAAUCCUGCGACUUAACCGUGGGAAAUCUAGAGAUACUGCUUGUCUUGAGACCGGGAGAGGUUGGAGGUACUUUUAGGGUAGGGGUGAAAUCCUGUAAUCCUAAGGGGACCACCUGUGGCGAAGGCGUCCAACUGGAACGGGUCUGACGGUGAGGGACGAAACCUAGGGGAGCGAGCCGGAUUAGAUACCCGGGUAGUCCUAGGCGUAAAUGAUGCGAGUUAAGUGUGGGGGCAUCUACGAGAUGGCCCUGUGCUGUAGGGUAGCCGUUAAACUCGCCGCCUGGGGAGUACGGUCGCAAGGCUGAAACUUAAAGGAAUUGGCGGGGGAGCAC
rnacentral:rRNA from 1 species